AUGGAGUGCAACAGAGAAGAGGGGUUGAGGGCCAGAGAAAUAGCUGCAAACAUGCUGGAAAGCAAAGACUUUCUUGGGGCUAGAAGGAUUGCACUUAAAGCUCAAAGGCUUUUUCCAGGGUUUGAGAACAUAUACCAGCUGUUAACUAUCUGUGAAGUGCAAUGUGCAGCAGUUGCAAAAAUCAAUGAAGACUUAGAUUGGUAUAGUAUUCUCCAGGUGGAGGCAACAGCAGAUGAGACAGUCAUAACAAAGCAAUAUGAGAAACUUGCCUUUUGGCUCCAUCCUGAUAAAAACACACUCCCUGGUGCUGAAGUUGCUCUGAAGUUGGUCUCAGAAGCUCGCAAGAUACUGUGUGAUCGUACGGAGCGGUCUUUGUAUGACAUCAGAAGGCAGUAUGCUUCCAAACAUGUGACAAGCAAAGCUACACAGCUACCAAAUAAGACUGGUGGAAAUGAGAGUCAUGUGGAUGGAUGCAAACAACCACCUGAUUUUGUGCUGGUGUUCUGGACUAUAUGCCCGCAUUGUCGGAGGUGA
rnacentral:rRNA from 1 species